AGAGUUUGAUCCUGGCUCAGGACGAACGCUGGCGGCGUGCCUAACACAUGCAAGUCGAGCGGAGACAGUGAGUAGCUUGCUAUGAGCUGUUUUAGCGGCGGACGGGUGAGUAACGCGUGAGCAACCUUUCCCAGACAGGGGAAUAACACACCGAAAGGUGUACUAAUACCGCAUAAGACCACGGGAUCACAUGGUUCUGAGGUAAAAGAUUUAUCGGUUUGGGGUGGGCUCGCGUCCGAUUAGGUAGUUGGUGAGGUAACGGCCCACCAAGCCGACGAUCGGUAGCCGACCUGAGAGGGUGAUCGGCCACAUUGGGACUGAGACACGGCCCAAACUCCUACGGGAGGCAGCAGUGGGGAAUAUUGGGCAAUGGGGGGAACCCUGACCCAGCAACGCCGCGUGGAGGAAGAAGGUUUUCGGAUCGUAAACUCCUGUCCUUGGAGACGAGUAGAAGACGGUAUCCAAGGAGGAAGCCCCGGCUAACUACGUGCCAGCAGCCGCGGUAAUACGUAGGGGGCAAGCGUUGUCCGGAAUAAUUGGGCGUAAAGGGCGCGUAGGCGGCUCGGUAAGUCUGGAGUGAAAGUCCUGCUUUUAAGGUGGGAAUUGCUUUGGAUACUGUCGGGCUUGAGUGCAGGAGAGGUUAGUGGAAUUCCCAGUGUAGCGGUGAAAUGCGUAGAGAUUGGGAGGAACACCAGUGGCGAAGGCGACUAACUGGACUGUAACUGACGCUGAGGCGCGAAAGUGUGGGGAGCAAACAGGAUUAGAUACCCUGGUAGUCCACACUGUAAACG
rnacentral:rRNA from 1 species